AUAAUAAUGAUAAUAAUGUUGCUUUUGUAAAGCUCUUACUAUGUGCAGAGCACUGUUCUAAAUGUUGGGGUAGGUACAGGUUGUGAAUAUCCUUCCCUGUCCCCAAACACCUCAUACUGGAGCACAUGGUUUCUACUACUAAGAGAGUGGUGAGGCAGAUUAAUCAGUUAAUUAGUCAUUAUAAUUUCCUGAGUGCUGAUAGACUACUUUACUAAACCCUUGGAAGAAUACAACAGACCUACCAUUCUUUCUUCUCAGAUUCACUCUGAGAACCUGAACUCUGUCUCUACUAUCCCUUAGAGAUGGAAAAAAAACAAGUCACCUACUCAGAGUUGAUUGUUCGCAACUCAUCCCAGCAGCCAGAUGGGAGACUGCAGAUACACAAGAAUAAAGACGCUUCCACUGAGCAGGAGGUGACCUAUGCAGGGAUGAAAAAUUCCAAGUUGUCUCAGCAGCGGCAGCACAGAAAAUCAAAGAACAUUCCAAACAGCGGACCGGAGCAACAGGCGACCUACACAGAGGUGAAAAAUGCAAAUCCAUCUCAGCAUCGACAACACAGAAGAAAUAAGGAUGCCCAGAAGACAGGUCUUGAGAGUGAUCAGCAGUUGACCUACACAGAUCUAAAACUGCCUGGUCAUCCUCAGCUCCAAGGCAGAUGUGAGAUUGGACAGAGCAAAGAUUCCCUGUCCCCUCCAUGGAGGUUCAUCGCUGGGAUUCUGGGGAUCCUGUGCUUCGGGCUGGUGGCCACCAUGGCAAUUAUGGCUCUACGGAUUUUUUGGAGUGAGUACUCGGAGAUGAAAUAAUGUGUUGGAUAGUGAUCUGACUUUGAAGUUCUUUACUUUGAAACCACUGAUUUUGCAGUUCUUUAUGGGCAAACAACCUCUUUCAUGAAUGAUAAAAUGUGCCUUAACUCUUUCAGCUCAAUAAAAUAUUAGUCCAUCUAUUUUUAAUGAAAUCAGUUUUACUUGAGUGGCCUGAAAGAAGUAAAACUCACUUCAAUGGCAGAAUCACAGCUAUACCUGUUCAAGAAGGAGAACUGUCCAGUUUAUGAAGUCUUCCAGAAAAGGUGAUGGGACAGGCAUUUCCUCCGGACUGUAAGCACAUUGUGGGCAGGGAACACGUUUACCAACUCUGCUAAUAAUAAUAAUCAUGGUAUUUGUUAAAUGCCUAUUAUGUGCCAAGCACUGUUCUAAGCACUAGGGCAGAUGACAGUAAUCAUGUUGUCCCCAGUGGGGCUCACAGUCUUAAUCCCCAUUUUACAGAUGAGGUGACUGAAGCACAGAGAAGUGAAGUGGCUUUUCCAAGGUCACACAGCAAACAAGUGGAGGAGCAGGGAUUAGAACCCAUACCCUCUGACUUCCAAGCCCUUUCUCUUUCCACUAAACCACACUACUCGCAUGGGAUGGGAUGGAAUGGGAAAGAUGGUGAGCACCUCCAGAAAGCUGGGCUCCAGACCCGGACCACUGGAUCCCUUGCUCAACAGCAGGCGGUGGAACAAGAGAAGAGACCAUCUGGCCACCCCCGCCUUCCCGCACCACUCUGGUUCCCCCGAGAAAGCAAUGCCCAGGCCUACCCACAGCCCCCAAUGCCGGCUCCAAACAACCCUGCCCACACUUUAUCUAGUUUUUUGGCUUUGAAAUGGGGCACGCACUGGGUGUCCAGAGCCCUCAGCCUCUCUACACCAGCAACCCUCUGCAACCCCGCCACCAUCAUCCUGUGUAAUAAUAAUAAUCAUAAUUAUGGUAUUUGUUCAGCACUUACUGUGUGCCAAGCACCAUUCUAAGCACUGGGGUAGAUGCAAGGUAAUCAUGUUGGGGUACGUAAAAGAUGGUUUGGUUGAACACGGUCCCUGUCCCAUGAUUUACCUCUUCUAUUUCACAGAUUUGGUUCCUCUGUGCCAUCCUAAUUAUCUGGUAUCUAAAACAGGUUGGCACAUAGUAAGUGCAUAACAAAUACUCUUAUUGUUAUUAUUAGUCAUCGUUGUAUCAUCAUUCUAAUCGUUCUUGUCAUUAUUAUUACCUUGUUGCUCAAAGCAUUGUUAACCAUAUUUAACCACAUCAAAGUUUAUAACCAUUUUAAUAAUCAUUUCCAAAGCACCAUCCAGUCACGGAGCUCAAAACACUUCUUCAUUGCCAACAACAGACGCCAGUACAGGUAAGUUCUGUCUUUCAACAACCUAACUGUUUAUUAUUAUUAAGAACAUGUUGCUCAAAGCAAUUUUUAGUUGAUCCCCAUGUUUAAACACAGUCAAAAAAAUAACCAUUCUAAUAAUAAUUUCCAUAGUACUGUCCAGUCACGGAGCGCAAAACACUCCUUCGUUGCCAACAACAGGCCCCAGGACAGGUAGGUCCUUUCAGUGACCCUAAUAUUUGUCCUGGGACAGCCCAAACUUAGGGACUGUCCCUGGGUUAAAACACAUAGGACAAAGACAGAGUUCAUUCACUCAAUAGUAUUUAUUGAGCGCUUACUAUAUGCAGAGCACUGUACUAAGCGCUUGGAUUGUACAAGUCGGCAACAGAUAGAGACAGUCCCUGCCCUUUGACGGGCUUACAGUCUAAUCCGGGGAGACAGACAGACAAGAACAAUGGCAAUAAAUAGAGUCAAGGGGAAGAACAACUCAUUAAAACAAUGGCAACUAAAUAGAAUCAGGGUGAAGUACAUUUCAUUAAACAAAAUAAACAAAAUAAAUAGGGUGAUGAAGAUGUAUACAGUUGAGUGGAAGAGUACAGUGCUGAGGGGAUGGGACGGGAGGGGGGAGGAGGAGAGGGAAAGGGGGGAGAAGAGGGUUUAGCUGCGGAGAGGUGAAGGGGGGGUAGAGGGAGCAGAGGGAAAAAGGGGGGAGCUCAGUCUGGGAAGGUCUCUUGGAGGAGGUGAGUUUUAAGUAGAGAUUUGAAGUGGGGAAGAGAAUUAGAUUGUCGGAGGUGAGGAGGGAGGGCAUUCCAGGACCACGGGAGGAUGUGGCCCAGGG
rnacentral:lncRNA from 1 species